GUACGUCCGACCUAACCUAACCUAACGAACCUCUACGAAUGCGAUCACGCGGUCCCGCUCGUGCACGUACAAGCCAGAAGUCCGUUGCGAGUGACAGUGAGAGUAGUGCGCACAGAGUCCGCGUAGGUGGUGUUGGUGGUAAAGUAGGAAGGUAAGGAAGAUCCCGAGGGAAGAAGGAGGUGGGACGAAGGAGCGAGAAAGAAGCGUGUAACCAGCCGAGCUAAAUCAUAACGCGGAAGGUGGCGCGUGUAAUCUCGUUGACGCAGCGCGCCUUUCCGCCACCCCGUAGAAGAGAAGAUCGCCCGUUAAACGGGCCGUGCCUCGCACGUUCCUUCGUUAUUAAAAUACCGAGCAAACAGCCGUCGAAGAGGGUGCCAGAUAGAUAUCGGUAACAUCUGGUACAGCUUCGAGUUCUAGUUUCAGUUUUAUUCAACGAGAGGACUGUACGUUGUCUGGUAUUGGCAACAUAACCUAACAUGUCAUAUCCGAAGUUCCUUAGCGUUACGAAGACACCAAGUCUCGUAUGCCAGCCGCAUCCCAACUAAAGCUUCAAAGAGCAUUAGCAUACUGGCCGCUGUAUGACUGGACCGUGCGUGUGUGGGCAUUCGGUGAGCACAAUUAACUCGUUAUCUUAUCGCGCGGCAGUGCAGUCCAAACAUAAAGGUGUCCCCUCGCUAAAUUUACGUAUGACGACAGAAGUACUGCGAACUUCAAUUGAAGAUGGCGACUUACCAGAUUGUUACUGGCGUAUGGACAGUGUCGACACUUGUAAGGUUUUACGCCAGUGUGACGACGUACGUGACGUCUCAUGUGCGACGUCAAAUUGGUCCUGAAUUGGCAGCCGGAGUAAGGACAAGAUUGAUAACUGGAAUCUUUGAACUCGUCGGUACGCAGCUCGUGCCUUCGGGUGUGCCUGAAAUCAGGAUAUAAAAUUAAUCUUCAAGACGACGUUUAUCGGCAUGGAUUACCGUGCGAGUUUAUUGACAUCGGCAGAUGUCGCAUCAAGCGAAUAUGACUGAUGCUCAUAUACGCAUGGAGUAUAGAUAUGCCCAUAAGCACGUAAUGGCUCGUUUCCAAAGCUCGACCACCGGUGCCACCUACCAUGCGUGGUAUAUCAGUUUCGAAAUGCGUGACACGUUUAAUUAAAAUGCUGUAUGAUUUACUCCGCCGCACACUGCGACACCGUCGCGUUACCCCACGGACUCUCACGGUAAGUACUCAAUUCGCGAUGAAAUAUCGUGGCCACCUCGCAAAUCUACAACCUACAAACCGUCCACCACCUACCACCUACAAGGGUCCCAAAUACGGCGUCCAUUAUGGGCUCUAUGAUCGUACAACAGGGAUUCGCCAAGUCCCACCACUUCAGGAACUUUUCUUCACCCUAACCUCAACCUGGACCUCGGCUCACGCUUCAGCAUGGGACCGAACCUGAACCUGGUUGACAGAGUGUCCCGACUACGCGUGUACAAUGGUACAAAAAAAAAAAGAAAAGGCAGGAAAAAAAUAAGACAAGCAAGAAAGAGGAGCAUCCUGACGAGUCGCUUGACUUUUACAACGCUCCGGGAAAUGCGUGGGCGUUUUUAUUAGCCCCGAGGAGCGGCGUCGAGAGUUCCAACGACAAUGGUGAAAAAAGACAAGCUCAGUGGACUCUGGACACACCUUCUCAGCUGUAUCGAUGUCUUGGCCGCGUAAGGACAUACGGAACAGGUGUACUUCCGGUCCUGUGCGGAAGUCUCGUGCACCAGGAGUCUGUGGGACCUCAGUUCGGCGGCUGUACGUAGGAUCGUCGGGCAGCCUGGAAGUCCGCACUUGAAUCUUUUACCAGCAUGGCGUAGCAUGUGUUGUCGAAGAGCGUGUCUGAAGGAGAAAAAAUAUAUAUAUAUAUAUACCGAGUGAGACAGAGAAAAAAGAAAGAGAGAGCAUUUGUAUAUGCUACAUGUGUGCGUAAUGAAAAAAAAAAAUACAAAAUAAAUACAAGAGGUCGAGACUGGUCGAGCCACGGAAUGUUCCAGCAUCGGCAUGGAAGCUGGAAUCGAAACGGGAAUUCUUCAGGAUCGGCUGAUAGGCAAUGGCCGGCAGGGCCGCGAGAUCUGGGCUGUCCGAUAGGCGAAGAACCCGGCUGCAAUUGGCUACGCAAGUGUAACAAAGAGUUUUACAUUGUGGGGGAUAUACACGCCCAGGCGCGAGUAUAUCCACUUUACAUACGUUAUUCGCGUACGCAUCUCUAAGAAGGUAUCAAGAAUUGCAGAAGAAAUUAUCAAGAGACUUUUCAAAGCUUCGUUCGCCAUGAGGAUGCCUCGUAAGGAUAUCUUAUACGUAUAUGCCUGUAGUUAGCGACUAAAUAGAUGCUGGCAGAGAUUAAUGGAAUACGGUAGUAGGAAUUAUAAAAGAAAAAGAAAAAAUUAUGAAAUCUGAAAAUUCUAGAUGUAACGUUACAACUGCGACUAUGCGAGACUUGAUAACCGAUAAUGAAUUGUUAUCGCUCAUGCGACUGUCGCUCGCGCGACUAAAGCCGCACGAUCAAGAUCAAAGUUUCGAACUAGGCGGUCGGUCGCUGCGUCAGGAAUUAAGGGAGCCGCCCGAAAUAGAGGAACUAUGCUAAUGCGCGACGGGCUGGUUUAUGGACGGUCGCUGAUGAGAGAUCGGCAGUUUUUGUGGAAUGUCGCAGGCGUGACAAGACGCCAUUAGCCGCACGGCCUAUUCGUCGUUGGGCAACCGGAUGCGGUCACUCUCGAUAAUUUACCUUUGAACUGUCAUCGUGUAAAAUACGUCGGUGCGCGACAUUAUUUAAAAGUAUAAUCCUGUCGGCCGUUAAUUAUUAGAUUCGUCAAUAACACGUAGACGUACGUUAACUGGCCGGGCUCUUGUGACAUUUCGACAAAUAACAGGAUGGGAAAGAGAAAAAUAUCAAUAACGAAGAAACCCGUUCUCCAUAGUCAUUGGGACAUUUCCGGAUGACGCUCGUUCCUAGAUACAACCUCAAUGUCGAUUUGCCAAUAAUGAUAUCGGAUGAUGGUGCGAAUUUUUCCUUCUACCCAACAAACUGCUGAGACUCAACUUUUAUUUCAUUAACGUUCAGAAUCCCGUGAGGGUGUGCUAUCGCUUGAACCGGUCAAUAAAUAUAAAUCAUCCGGAGCGCAGCUAAUCAAUGAAAAACCUCGUAAAUCCUAAGUGACAAUUCGUGUAAUUAAAAUCAAGUAGCUAACUAUAGGAUAUAGGAGUUCGCUUGAAUGGCUAUGUAUAUACGUUGACUUCAGGGAUUCACGGACACCAUGGAUUCAUGGUCCGAGUAGGUAAGGUAGGUUAAUAUAACCUGGAUGGGUCUCUAGGAGUUCAGGUUGGGAAUGGCAAAACGAGUGAAGCGCCCAUCCGUGUACAACGAAGAGGGAACCAUGGGAGUGAGCACGGGCAUUAAUUAAAAAGGUUGCGCAUUAAAA